rnacentral:lncRNA from 13 species
AUGCAUGAGCUCCCAACAGAACCCGCCUACAGGUUAAAGGCUUGUGGGGAAAGGGACAUGCACUCCCGGGGGUCUUCAGGGCCUGAAACCACAUCUCCCAGAAGACUGAAGCUACCACCUGCAGAGACGCUGCCCCUCCUGGGAGCCACGUGUUCCCAGCCCCAGUUAAAACUUCGCAGCUGGGCCCCCUUACUUUGGAAGUCUUGCCGAGGCACUAGACUCCUCUGGGAGAGGGCGGGGGAGCCUCAGGUGGUUGGCCCCUCCCACCCCCAUCCAGAGGCCAGCAGGUUCCAGCCUGUCCCGGGUUGGGCGGAACUGCGCCCCCUCCCCACGGGCAGCCGGCGGUGGAGGCCAAGUCCCGCCCUCCCCGGGAUCCUGGACUCGGGGCCACCAGGGACUGGGCACGGUCCCCACCUCCCGCCUGGGUCACCGCAGCCGAACUGGACUGGCGCCCGGCCGCCCCCGAGUCCAGCCGGGGACUUUAAUUCCGCCUUCCCCGAGGGACGCGAAGUUUCCCGGCCGAGACUGAGCGGCCGGGUCGGGGUGGUUCUUGGGCCACCAAAAUGCGGAGCCGGAGCGUCCGGACGGGAGAGUCCGCACCUGGGCUGGCCCCGGGCCACGGCGCUGCCCCCGGAGUCCGGCGGGCGUUCCGGGUCCCAGGCCCCGGGAGGAUGCCCCGCACCCCGCUGCGCUCACCUGGAUGGUCUGGUUGGGGUCGCCGCCGGCCACGGGGCCCCCCACCAGCUUGCAGUAGAGGUCCUCGGUGGGACGCGGGGAGCCGCGCGCCGGGGCCUCCUCGCCGCAGGUCGCGGACGCGGCGAUGCGGGCGCCCUCGGCCAGGUUGAAGUAGGGCGGGUGCAGGCUGAAGCCACUGCCCGCCGCCUCCCGCGCCCGCGCCGCGCCCAGCAGCGCCAGCCCGACCAGCAGCAGCCGCGCGGGGCCCCAGGGGCCGCGGAGGCACCGUGCGCUCCCGGGGCAGAGCGGCACGCCGCGCUUCGCCAUCUUCCCGGCUCCGGGCCGCGUCCCCGCGCUCCAGGGACAGCGCGCGCGGCGGGAGCCCGGCGGGUCUGA